rnacentral:rRNA from 1 species
GAGACCGGCGCACGGGUGCGUAACGCGUAUGCAAUCUACCUUUUACAGAGGGAUAGCCCAGAGAAAUUUGGAUUAAUACCUCAUAGUAUUAUGAAAUGGCAUCAUUUUAUAAUUAAAGUCACAACGGUAAAAGAUGAGCAUGCGUCCCAUUAGCUAGUUGGUAAGGUAACGGCUUACCAAGGCUACGAUGGGUAGGGGUCCUGAGAGGGAGAUCCCCCACACUGGUACUGAGACACGGACCAGACUCCUACGGGAGGCAGCAGUGAGGAAUAUUGGACAAUGGGCGCAAGCCUGAUCCAGCCAUGCCGCGUGCAGGAUGACGGUCCUAUGGAUUGUAAACUGCUUUUAUACGAGAAGAAACACUGAUUCGUGAAUCAGCUUGACGGUAUCGUAAGAAUAAGGAUCGGCUAACUCCGUGCCAGCAGCCGCGGUAAUACGGAGGAUCCAAGCGUUAUCCGGAAUCAUUGGGUUUAAAGGGUCCGUAGGCGGUUUGGUAAGUCAGUGGUGAAAGCCCAUCGCUCAACGGUGGAACGGCCAUUGAUACUGCCAGACUUGAAUUAUUAGGAAGUAACUAGAAUAUGUAGUGUAGCGGUGAAAUGCUUAGAGAUUACAUGGAAUACCAAUUGCGAAGGCAGGUUACUACUAAUGGAUUGACGCUGAUGGACGAAAGCGUGGGUAGCGAACAGGAUUAGAUACCCUGGUAGUCCACGCCGUAAACGAUGGAUACUAGCUGUUGGAAGCAAUUUCAGUGGCUAAGCGAAAGUGAUAAGUAUCCCACCUGGGGAGUACGUUCGCAAGAAUGAAACUCAAAGGAAUUGACGGGGGCCCGCACAAGCGGUGGAGCAUGUGGUUUAAUUCGAUGAUACGCGAGGAACCUUACCAAGGCUUAAAUGUAGAUUGACCGAUUUGGAAACAGAUCUUUCGCAAGACAAUUUACAAGGUGCUGCAUGGUUGUCGUCAGCUCGUGCCGUGAGGUGUCAGGUUAAGUCCUAUAACGAGCGCAACCCCUGUUGUUAGUUGCCAGCGAGUAGUGUCGGGAACUCUAACAAGACUGCCAGUGCAAACUGUGAGGAAGGUGGGGAUGACGUCAAAUCAUCACGGCCCUUACGCCUUGGGCUACACACGUGCUACAAUGGCCGGUACAGAGAGCAGCCACUGGGCGACCAGGAGCGAAUCUAUAAAACCGGUCACAGUUCGGAUCGGAGUCUGCAACUCGACUCCGUGAAGCNGGAAUCGCUAGUAAUCG